CCCUCAUAGCUCAGUUGGUAAAGAAUUUGCUUUCAAUGCAGGAAACCCAGGUUCAAUUCCUGGAUUAGGAA
rfam:Ovis aries breed Texel chromosome 13, whole genome shotgun sequence.